ensembl:lncRNA
GUAGGGAAAGGCAUCGCCUCCCAGCAAGUAGCCCUUCUCCCUGCUGGUCUUUGCUUUGCUCCUCGCCUGGCAACGCGGUGACACGAUGGAGGUGACAAGCAGGGUGUUUCUGCUGAAUCAAUCUCUUCUCUUUGUUUUUUUCUUGCAGGAGGGAAAAGCUGCUGCAAAACUUGCAAGCCUUAGCUUGGAUCCCAUCGUGCUGCUCACAGACAGCUGAUGCGCAGCGCUCGGUAAGCUGGCCGCUCCCUCUGCUCCCUGCUUCCCUGAGAGCUGCCACCCAAACUAAGCUGCUUAGUGCAUAUGGCAUAAUCCAUCCUCCAGCUUGUGGCAGGAGCAGCGGUGGGAGCUAAUUAGCGUGCACUAAUAGGCGUGCUAACAACAUCUUGCUGCUACAGCAUCGUGGCCGUCGCCGGAGAUUUGCGCACUGAAUUUUUUGCAAUUAGCACCAUGAAAUGUUGGCUGCCAAUGGGGACCUGUCCUUCAGUGGCUGGGGGGCACAUGCAUCAGGGUGAAGCUCUGGGACCUCAGCCUGCUUCAGGAGGCUGCAACGAAAUUGUCUUGGGUGUAACCGACUCGUCAUGGGCAUGGCCCAAAGAGUUCCUCCAGGAAGGCAAAGGAGCAUUGGAAAGAGGGCUACUGAGACCCAGAUCCCUCUCUCAUGUUAUGCUGUGUUGAAGCCUCUAGGACAACAUUUUGGCCUGGAUUCAGGAAGCCUGUUAAGGAUUUCAGCCCGGAGAGGUUGGAGGCCGGGAUGGGCGAGAUGGAGCUGGGCUGGGAACAGCCGUGUGGUGAGGUUGCAGGAGGCUGCAGGACCUUCCCAGCAGGACAACCUCUGUGUCUGUCCGGCCCUCCAUCCAGCCCUGCUGUGUCCCGAGGGCUGCAGGAGACAUGAGCUCACUGCUGAGACGUGCCAAACCAAGCCCGCCGGGCGAGGCUGCUCCCAGCUCCACGCUGACAUCUGCCAGAGAUUUCCAGCACUGCUGUCUCGCUGCUUCUCUGCAGAACGCAGCCCCUGAGCGUCCCAACAUCCUGCUCCUCCUCUGGGCCAGAGGCAUCCACAUCUACAUCCCCAUUGCUAUCCCAAUCCACAUCCCCAUCCCCACCUGCAUCCCCAUCCCCGCCCACAUCAGCAUCCUAACACCUGAACUGGUUGCCAUAGAAACCACAGGUCUGUCUGUCUGCCCGUGCCAGGGGUCAAUGCGCUGCUCCCCCUGGCACAGCUAUUUGUGGUCCACAGACAGGGAAACAGGGGCACGCUGGAGGCAUGGAGCAUCCACACAAGGAGGACGGUGCAUCCUGGGAGUGAAUGGGAAAGUGUAGCUCUGCCAGAAGUUAUAGCAUUUGGGACAUCAACGUGAGCAGAGGGCGAAAGCUGGAAAUCAUUACAUGGCACAACAGAAGGCAAAACAUUCACCUGGAGAAGGCAAUUAGCUCAGCAGGUCUUUUAGUGUCAUUAAGGGAUUAUUGUCCUGUUAUUACAUGUCCCAUCAUUAAGGGAUUAUUGUCUCAGUGGUUCCUUGACCUCCUGGGCAUGGCUGGAUGGUGUCACAUCAGACCCCAUAGAAGGUGUUGUUAGGGUGGGUGGGGUAGUGUGAGUUGUCCUCUCUUUCAGAGACCACCAGCAAGGCAAAUUGUUGCGUUAGGGAUGUGACCAAUUGGUUUGGAGGUGUCCAAGGCCAAGUUGAAUGGGAAACCUCAUCCAGUGCUUGAUCAAGCAGUCUGCAACCCUGCCUACGGCAUGGAGAUUGGAAGUGGACAGUCUCUGGGGUCCCUUCCAACACAAGCCAUUCUAUGAUUUCUUGCCCACGUGGUCCUAUGGGCAUCCCAGUGACCAUAUAUAGCCAACUCUCUGCUCUCCACCUCCUAUAAAAGAUGCUGGCUGCUGGUUUCCGUGCUGCCAGCCGUCCCGGAGCUGUGCGUUCUGCAUUUCCCUUUUAGGAAGCAAGAUUCUUGGACAUAGGGCAGUAAAAAGAAAACAUCUCUCAGCUCUUAUUUAUCACCUCUCCUUAUAACUGACCACUCUCUAAAUAGAGGGACCGCUUGCAGCCCAGGAGUGCAGCACAACGGAGCCAGAGGUGCCUUUGGCCCCUGCUGUCCUGGAUGGACUUCCAUGCAGAUCUCCCCACCUCGCUGCUAUUUAUGGGGUCAGCUCCAGGCAAGGAACCCAGCUGAAGUCCUGGUGCUUACUGCUCACCGGCCAAGCCAAACAGCGGAGUGAUGCAAUAUUGCACAAACUUUCCAGCCAGGGAAAUUAAUCUUUGCAAUAGAGGAAAAAAAAAAAAAAAAAAAAAAAAAGCAGUGAGCACAGAAGACAGCUCAGGGCGUCUGUCUUGGAGGGGAUGUCUGUUAAAUGGGCUCAGCACAUGCUGUUCUGGCUGCUUCCGCUGAACUCUGCUGCUGGCGAGAUGUUCAGCUCAUCACAUAAUGAGAUCCCACCAGAGGAACAACAUUAGGAUGCCUCCCAGACAGCCAAGGCCUUCAAAAUGCAUGGAGGAGGAGCAGCUCCAUCGAGGUCACGCAUAGCUGAGCAUCCCAGAGGGGGAAGGUGAGGACGCUGGGUGACACCAUCGCUUCCCCAAGGCAGAGAUGCACAGACAUUUUGAAGUGUUCCACCAGAGUUUGGGUGUUCCUCUCUUCGGUUGCCUUUUCCAAGGGUCCAGACAGAAGCACUACUGUUCUCCCUGUUUUGUUGAAGGGAGUGACUAAGUCCUCCUCCUGCCUCCUGCCCACAAAGUGGGAUGUUGCUCUUGUCACUGGCAUCAAAAACAGAACGGGACUGUGAACUGAAGAGCUCUGGGAGGGAGGGUGAGAAGCACCAGAAGCUGUGGUGCAAUAGGAAAAUGUCCCCAUUGCUGCAUACAACAGAGUCCAGCCUCUCCUACCUUCAGGUUCAUGCUGGGAUCACGGGGCCAUGUUUGAGCACUGUGAUGGGCAGAGGAGACGACAGAGACGUGAUGGAGAUCACCUCCCCUGGGUUCUGGGCUACAUGCAUCUGAUGAAGCUGUACGUAUCACAGAGAGUCAGAAAGUGUUUUUAUUGGUCCUUUACAUGCAGGUCAGAGGGAUUCUUACUGGGAAAGGAGAGGGA